rnacentral:tRNA from 1 species
AAGACUUUAAGUUAAAAAAACUAUAUGCCUUCAAAGCAUAAAAUAUUACCAAAAUUAAGUCUUA